ACAGGCGUAAGCUAACAAGACGUCAACACGAAUUUUAUCGUACGCAGAAAGAUAUCGUUAUUACCAAAUACCGUAAGAUUGUGAUAUCGGAAGAACUAGUAGUACCUUUGCUAUACUAGAAUACUGUAAACACAUUCAAAUCUGCCCCUUAAGAUUCCUUAAGAUAAAAGAAAAAUAAGAUAGGGUUAGUUGUCAGGAGAAAGUAUGCUGGUUGCUCAGUCUCCUGAUAUAUUUUUUCUUUUCCCUGCACUUUAUGCCAUCCCGCAUUCACUCCGUGUUGAUCAAAUAUCGUGAUUUCAAAUUCUACGAAACCUGUCCAUUUGCUGCAAAUUUAGUCUGUUUUAAUGUUCUACCAGCGUAAUUCAAGUUGAGAAAGGGCAAGCUUGGCCUAUUUAAUAUGCAUAAUAGAGUCGUU